AGUCUAGAGAAUCGUUUUCCGCGUUGGCCUGUGUACAAGUCCCUUGGAACAGGGCGUCAUAGAGGGUGAGAAUCCCGUCCUUGACACAGAUUACCAAUGCUUUGUGAUGCGAUCUCGAAGAGUCGAGUUGUUUGGGAAUGCAGCUCAAAAUGGGUGGUAAAUUCCAUCUAAAGCUAAAUAUUGGCGAGAGACCGAUAGCGAACAAGUACCGUGAGGGAAAGAUGAAAAGCACUUUGGAAAGAGAGUUAAACAGUACGUGAAAUUGUUAAAAGGGAAACGAUUGAAGUCUUUCAUGCUUUCCGAGACUCAGCCGAUUCUGUCGGUGUACUUCUCGGGUGGGAGGGCAGCAUCAGUUUCGAUCUGUGGAAAAGGUUGGAGGGAACGUGGCAUCCUCGGAUGUGUUAUAGCCCUUCUUCCAAUACAUAGAGCGGGACUGAGGAACGCAGCGCGCCUUUUAUUAGGUUGACCCUCGGGUACAUACGCGCUU
rnacentral:rRNA from 1 species